rnacentral:rRNA from 1 species
UACGGAGGGUGCAAGCGUUAAUCGGAAUUACUGGGCGUAAAGCGUGCGCAGGCGGUUUGUUAAGUCCGUUGUGAAAGCCCCGAGCUCAACUUGGGAAUUGCAGUGGAUACUGGCAGGCUGGAGUACGGUAGAGGAAGGUGGAAUUCCCGGUGUAGCAGUGAAAUGCGUAGAUAUCGGGAGGAACACCAGUGGCGAAGGCGACUACCUGGUCUGGCAUUGACGCUCAUGUGCGAAAGCGUGGGGAGCAAACAGG